CGCCGUUAAAGAGAGAUUCCACAUGGCUUCAUUAUUCUCUCACCUCUGCCCACAGCAAACAAGCAACUUUACUAUUUUAUCUUGAGAUGAGCUUCAAACCAAAGAGCCAUAAAGGCCUGGGAGAUGAGGAGAGGAUGACGAGGAUGACGAGGAUUUGCCAGCGAUGGGGUUUGGCCGUCAAAUGCAGGAAAUCCACAAUCAGAAGAAGUGGCAUGCUCUCUAUCAGAAGCUAAGGCUUACCCAGUGUUUUAGUCUCCUGUGUGUGUAGUGAGGCAUAUGAAAAAGGGGAGACAUGAUUAAUUGUCAUUUAUGAGAUGAUGUACUGUUUCAGAUUGAAAAAUGCCCCAUCCAAUCACGAGGACAGACCACCUUUUUUGGAGUGUCUGCAAGCUGCGAUUGUAGCUUUCAUGCUGCCAAGCCUCCUCCUCCUGUGGCCCCACAAUCAGUGGCUUCAGAAUCCACCUCUUAUGCUCCACAGUCUUUCCUGAGUUCAUUAAAUCACACUUUGGUGGGUCUCAUACGGAUUCAUUGAAGCCCAACUUGGUUGCUCGCAUACCACCGUGCCCCUCUCUGCCCUCUGUGAGGACCCGUAGCCUGACACCUUCCUCUGUGAGGACCUCUGGUCCCUCUCCAUCCUCUGUGAGGACCCCUAGCUUGACACCUUCCUCUGUGAGGACCUCUGGUCCCUCUGCAUCCUCUGUGAGGACCCCUAGC